rnacentral:rRNA from 1 species
AUUGAACGCUGGCGGCAGGCCUAACACAUGCAAGUCGAGCGGAUGAAGGGAGCUUGCUCCUGGAUUCAGCGGCGGACGGGUGAGUAAUGCCUAGGAGUCUGCCUGGUAGUGGGGGAUAACGUCCGGAAACGGGCGCUAAUACCGCAUACGUCCUGAGGGAGAAAGUGGGGGAUCUUCGGACCUCACGCUAUCAGAUGAGCCUAGGUCGGAUUAGCUAGUUGGUGGGGUAAAGGCCUACCAAGGCGACGAUCCGUAACUGGUCUGAGAGGAUGAUCAGUCACACUGGAACUGAGACACGGUCCAGACUCCUACGGGUGGCAGCAGUGGGGAAUAUUGGACCAUGGGCGAAAGCCUGAUCCAGCCAUGCCGCGUGUGUGAAGAAGGUCUUCGGAUUGUAAAGCACUUUAAGUUGGGAGGAAGGGCAGUAAGUUAAUACCUUGCUGUGUUGACGUUACCAACAGAAUAAGCACCGGCUAACUUCGUG